rnacentral:rRNA from 1 species
CGCUGGCGGCGUGCUUAACACAUGCAAGUCGAACGAACCUUCGGGUUAGUGGCGGACGGGUGAGUAACGCGUGGGAAUCUGCCCUCAGGAGGGGGAUAACGGCUGGAAACGGCCGCUAAUACCCCAUAUGCCGAGAGGUGAAAUGAAUUUCGCCUGAGGAUGAGCCCGCGUCUGAUUAGCUUGUUGGUGAGGUAAUGGCUCACCAAGGCUUCGAUCAGUAGCUGGUCUGAGAGGAUGAUCAGCCACACUGGGACUGAGACACGGCCCAGACUCCUACGGGAGGCAGCAGUGGGGAAUUUUCCGCAAUGGGCGAAAGCCUGACGGAGCAACGCCGCGUGAGGGAUGAAGGCCUCUGGGCUGUAAACCUCUUUUCUCAAGGAAGAAGAUAUGACGGUACUUGAGGAAUAAGCCACGGCUAAUUCCGUGCCAGCAGCCGCGGUAAUACGGGAGUGGCAAGCGUUAUCCGGAAUUAUUGGGCGUAAAGCGUCCGCAGGCGGCCUUUCAAGUCUGCUGUUAAAACGUGGAGCUUAACUCCAUCAUGGCAGUGGAAACUGUUGGGCUUGAGUGUGGUAGGGGCAGAGGGAAUUCCCGGUGUAGCGGUGAAAUGCGUAGAUAUCGGGAAGAACACCAGUGGCGAAGGCGCUCUGCUGGGCCAUAACUGACGCUCAUGGACGAAAGCCAGGGGAGCGAAAGGGAUUAGAUACCCCUGUAGUCCUGGCCGUAAACGAUGAACACUAGGUGUCGGGGGAAUCGACCCCCUCGGUGUCGUAGCCAACGCGUUAAGUGUUCCGCCUGGGGAGUACGCACG